UACGUAGGGUGCGAGCGUUGUCCGGCAUUAUUGGGCGUAAAGAGCUCGUAGGCGGUGUGUCACGUCGUUCGUGAAAACCUGCAGCUUAACUGUGGGCGUGCGGUCGAUACGGGCAUCACUGGAGUUCGGCAGGGGAGACUGGAAUUCCUGGUGUAGCGGUGAAAUGCGCAGAUAUCAGGAGGAACACCGGUGGCGAAGGCGGGUCUCUGGGCCGAUACUGACGCUGAGGAGCGAAAGCGUGGGGAGCGAACAGG
rnacentral:rRNA from 1 species